rnacentral:rRNA from 1 species
UACAGAGGGGGCAAGCGUUGUUCGGAAUUACUGGGCGUAAAGGGCGCGUAGGUGGCCUUCUAAGUUGAACGUGAAAUCCCUGGGCUCAACCCAGGAACUGCGUCCAAGACUGGGAGGCUCGAAUCCGGGAGAGGGAUGCGGAAUUCCAGGUGUAGCGGUGAAAUGCGUAGAUAUCUGGAGGAACACCGGUGGCGAAGGCGGCAUCCUGGACCGGGAUUGACACUGAGGCGCGAAAGCCAGGGGAGCAAACGGG